AAGUCGUAACAAGGUAACCGUAGGUGAACCUGCGGUUGGAUCAUUAUGGUAAAUAAAGAGAGAGGAUAUCCUUUUUUUUUGAAGGAUAUUCUCUUUUCUUUUGAUACCCCUUUGUGAAUGUUUAUUGUAUUUUUGGCAGCCCUGUGUUAUUGUCGAGAGGUAAAUCAGUGUACAAAGUCUUUAUUGAUGCUGGAUCUGGUUAUGCUUUCGGUGAUUGCAUUGAAGAUGCUCUUUCUUCUAGAAGGAGCAUUGGUCUGCCAAAGUUUUUUUUAACCAACUAUUAAUCAUGUUUCAAAUAUGUCGUUCAACAAAGGACUCGUAAAAAAGUUCCGAGUUGUCAAAAUAAAAAUUAUUACAACUUUAGACAAUGGAUCUCUUGGCUCUC
rnacentral:misc_RNA from 1 species